GUCAUUGUGAUUUCAAUUAUUAUUUUUAGUUUUAUUAUAUACUUUGUCUAAGUGAUACAAUUAUGAAUCGUCUAAAAAUAGAGAUAUAUAAUUAUCAAUAAGUUUUCCUGUCAUCAAGAUUUAGCUAUUGGUUGAUACAGGGAUCAAACAAGGCGGAGAUGACAAUGAUGUUGGGCGGUUUAACUUAUUUAAGGGAAGGCAGAGAGCCGCUAUGCACGGUGGUCAAGUUAUGGCGAUAAUAGGGUCGGUGGAAGAGGAAGGAGGAGAGGGAAAAGAGAGGAAGAUGAUCCAUUUUUUCUGAUAGGACUAAGGGUCUAUAUACUCUUAUGUAUGAUCUUGAAGUGUCACAUGUCGUCUUCCCAUGGGUGAGCCUAAGUCAAGUUAGCCAGUAGUCUAUCAAUAAAAGUUUAGGUAGAGUGGAGAUUGGACUUGACCCUUCAUAAUUUGUACCACCACUUGUGGAGCAUUCUCAACUCUCUUAGCCUCAAGUUCCCCUAUUCUAGCAAUUCCACCCAUGCCCCCCAAUUGCCCUGCGUCUUACCAAAGGCUCCACAAACUCCUCGACUUCUUCAGAAGACAUCUUCUCAGUAGGUCUUUGGCUGCUCGCACCUCCAAUUUCCCUAUGCCUCACUAAAUGCACUUCUAACCCUUCGCCGUCUUCAAAGGGCACCAUUGUAGUCUGUUUGUUGGUACACCACUUAUGAUUUGAGCAUAACCUAUACCAUACAAGGAAAAACCAAGGCUUAGGUGGUUAUAUGCUAGCAACCUUAUUGGUACUGCCCUGAGGCUAGGCUUCCAAAUGAUGUGGAACCUUUCGCCCUCUAUUCUAAAAGUCAUUUUGAAAAUCACUAUCUUUAUACCUAUUGGGGUUUACACCCAUCAAGCAGUGCUUGUACAGCUUUCUAACAGUAAUGGUCCUCGAAACAUCUAGAGGACUACCUUUCCAAAGAGCCUUGAAUUGCGCCUUCCUAAACUCAUCCAACAAUUUUGGUUUGGCCAAGCACAACUUGCUCGAAGGUAAUGCCAAGUGGUAGGAAAGGUAAAGUUUGCAGCAAACCUAUGUUCUACCAAAAUGUAUUUCUAUCUAUCCAGCCAGAGCUUGGUCCCUUCAACAUCAAGUGCUCGAUCUCUGCACCCUCCCUUUUGUUGAAAGUAAGCAAUCCAAACAACCUGUUUUGGUCCAUGGUAGUAAGGGAAAAAAGGUUUCUACAACACCUUGUCUGACUACAGAGUACUAAGGAAAUCAAUAAGAAUCCACCGCGAGGCCUUAGAUAGCUACCUUGACACCACUCCAUAAUAGUUUACCACUCACAAACAAAAUCGUGAGGUGGCAAAUGGAAGCCAACCUCCAAAGCAUACAAAGGCAAAUAAAACCCUGGUUUUCCACUACUGUGUUUUGGCCCACUCAUGGUGCUCAACUCGUUUUCUCCCUGGGAAUGUUGAACUCAAACUCAUAAUUACUAAUAUUGCAACCCCUUACGCUGAAACAACCUCCGCAUUUUGUUAACCCCAAUAGUACAUCAGGCCGCAUCGCCGACAUAAGGAACCCUCACCGGCCAAGUACCGUUACCUUUCUUCCAAUCCUCACCACCGUCACUAUUACUGGUAUUCCCACCACAAAACCCUCUAACCAUUUUUAGUCAAACACAAACCUUAAAAACUAUUGUAAAGCUGAAGAACUUACCAAGCAACUGUCCUAGCGCCAAUCCGAACAACUUCAAUGAGACAUAAACUUGAAUCGAAGGAAAAAGAAAGAAGAAGAAAAGA
rnacentral:lncRNA from 1 species